rnacentral:rRNA from 1 species
GGAUCCAGACUUUGAUUAUGGCUCAGGAUGAACGCUGGCGGCGCAUUUAAGACAUGCAAGUCGAACGAAAAUUUACGCUUAAAGAGUUGAUUAGUUUACUAAGAGAUGAUUUAUUGUAAAUUUUAGUGGCGGACUGGUGAGUAAUACAUAGGUAAUCUGCCUUUUAGAGGGGAAUAACUAGGAGAGAUCCUAGCUAAUACCGCGUAAGACCACACUUAGGCAUCUAAGAGAGGUCAAAGGAGUAAUCCGCUAAAAGAUGAGCCUGUGGCUGAUUAGUCAGUUGGUGGGGUAAGAGCCUACCAGGACGAUGAUCAGUAGCCGAGCUGAGAGGCUGGCCGGCCACAUUGGGACUGAGAUACGGCCCAGACUCCUACGGGAGGCAGCAGUUGGGAAUAUUGGACAAUGGAGGAAACUCUGAUCCAGUGACGCCGCGUGAAGGAAGAAGGUCUUCGGAUUGUAAACUUAUUUUAUCAGGGAAGAAGAAAGUGACAGUACCUGAAGAAAAAGGACCGGCAAACUACGUGCCAGCAGCCGCGGUAAUACGUAGGGUCCAAGCGUUAUCCGGAUUUACUGGGUGUAAAGGGCGAGUAGACGGCGCUGUAAGUCAGCUGUGAAAACUUAGGGCUCAACCUUAAGCCUGCAGCUGAAACUGUAGUGCUAGAGUGCAGGAGAGGUAAGCGGAAUUCCUAGUGUAGCGGUGAAAUGCGUAGAUAUUAGGAGGAACACCAGUGGCGAAGGCGGCUUACUGGACUGUAACUGACGUUGAGGCGCGAAAGUGUGGGGAGCAAACAGGAUUAGAUACCCUGGUAGUCCACACCGUAAACGAUGGACACUAGGUGUAGGCGAGAUAUCGUCUGUGCCGGCGCAAACGCAAUAAGUAUCCCACCUGGGGAGUACGGC